rnacentral:rRNA from 1 species
AUUGAACGCUGGCGGCAUGCCUUACACAUGCAAGUCGAACGGUAACAGGUCUUCGGAUGCUGACGAGUGGCGAACGGGUGAGUAACACAUCGGAACGUGCCUAGUAGUGGGGGAUAACUACUCGAAAGAGUGGCUAAUACCGCAUGAGAUCUACGGAUGUAAGCAGGGGAUCGCAAGACCUUGUGCUACUAGCGCGGCAGAUGGCAGAUGAGGUAGUUGGUGGGAUAAAAGCUUACCAAGCCGACGAUCUGUAGCUGGUCUGAGAGGACGAUCAGCCACACUGGGACUGAGAAACGGCCCAGACUCCUACGGGAGGCAGCAGUGGGGAAUUUUGGACAAUGGGCGCAAGCCUGAUCCAGCAAUGCCGCGUGCAGGAUGAAGGCCUUCGGGUUGUAACUGCUUUUGUACGGAACGAAAAGCCCCGGGUUAAUACCCUGGGGUCAUGACGGUACCGUAAGAAUAAGCACCGGCUAACUACGUGCCAGCAGCCGCCGUAA